AAAUGAUACUGUCUUUUGGCUUGUGGCUUAUUUGUCAGAACUGGUCACAUGACCCUGCCUAACGGAUAAUUGAAGCUAUCUGCAUAGGUUGGUUCACUGCCGAGUGCAUCGUGAGGUUCAUUGUCUCCAAAAACAAGUGUUGGCUAUGACUCUACCACAUCCUCUUCAGUUUUGGAUCCGGGAUGAAGGAGCUAUCCUUAUCUGGGAUGUUGUCGUUCUUAUGUCAAAGAAAAUGAGAAGACAGUGGAAGCAUGAGACUCUUAAAGUUUCUGCCAAAGCAUCACACUUCAUUUUUAUUUUACGUUUUGUUGACAUAGUUUAUCACAUGACUUAGCCUGACAUUAUUGGGGUGAGAAAAUGUAAGAGGCAGUAACGACUGGGUUGUUGGAAAAGUCAUGACACAUUUUUCUAUUUUUUACAUAGAAAAAUGUAUUAUGGCUUCCAGUGACCCCUAUUUGGGAACUAUACUCUAGGACUGCAGUCAGAAAUGUUAUACUUGCCUGUAGUCAAGGCGGAAAGGAAGCACGUAUACAUGUGAGACUUUUCUGUGAGCUGAUGCAGGGUCUGGAAUCACACUGUCUAAAUGAGGCAAGAGCUUUGAGCCUUAAUUUGAGGCUUAUCUCAUAUCCCAGCACCUGCCUAGGCUGAAUUACAGACCAGAGAAACCAUUUGACAGGAAAGAACGCAGAAGGAUAAAGCUCCCUAGAUAAGCUCUUAAACAUAAAUUACAAAGCACUUGAAGUGGCCUAGCCCUAUAAGCGA